rnacentral:lncRNA from 1 species
AAUCCCAAGUGGCUCCCAAGUCCUUUUCAGCGCUCUUUUUGCAAUAUGCAGUGGUGAGAUCAAGUGUUGGAUUCCACUAUCAAAAUCAACUUUAUACUCCUGGUCUUACCUCAUUCCCUUCCUGAUACCCGGAAACAGUACUUUGUCUUCACAAUCGUCUUCUUCGUCAUAGGUAUCUGUGUGUUCCUUGCAUUACUGCUGCACUCUCUGCAUGUUUUGAAAGUAACCAACUUAUGCAAGGAUGCGAAAAUCACCUUUCUCUACCCUACUUUCAUCCUUUCAUUCAGCGCCAUACUAUUUUUCUUAUCUGGAAUCCUCUGCUUAUUCAGCUCCCAUCAUUGUUGGCUUCAGUGCGUCUUACAGCAACCAAUCCAAGUGAAACCUAUGCAAAUGUCAGUGGUCAGUGGGAACUCAGCAAUGGUCACAGAAAGGACACCGGGUAGAGAUGGCUAGCCUAACCUCAGUGGUGGUGAGAAAGCUGAUUUUAGAAGAAACAUGUCUCACCUGUAAUUCAAGAUUUCACAGCUAUACACACACUCUUAUUUAAUUACUGCAUAAGACUGGAAAGAGUUGGCUGGUUACUAAUCAUUGUUCAAGAUAUGGCUUAGGAUUCCGGGGACUUAGAUAUUCAUAAGAGAGAAAACACA